UAUCCAACCACACGUGAUGUUGACGAUGUACAUUGUGCAUGUCAAAUAAAUUGUCUGUCUGGCUGUCUUUAUCAUAUCUCUGACCCAACAUUGGGUUGAUAAACUUCUGAUUACGUUAUGGUACAAGCGCAUCGUUUUGUUGUAUCGUUUAGUUACUUAAAUGACUUGAGAUCUGAAGCAUAACGUCAAAUGGAAUAUUCAAUUACAGUACUGCAGUGACGGCUACAUGAAGGAGUUUACACUAUCUGUCAUGUUUAUCAUUAAAAACUGCCCGGAUGAAUAGCUGGCAGAUGUGAAAACAAGCGAUUUGUUUACAAAGAAAGUGAUCCGACGUGAUCCGACGUACGAUCCCCUCCAGAAAUCGAGAAAGAAUGAGGGCGAUCGUUUCGACGUGGAAAUAUUUAAUCAUAAUAAGCAAUGCAUUUAUUUUGGGUAUGGUUCAUCAAUCGACAACAUACAAGCUAAAAGAGAGCGCUUACUGUGAAUGGUAUUGUACGAAAGUACAACAACAAUGGGACGGCUCAUGCCAUGUAUAUGGGUCCUGUCGGUGGUAUUGUCAGGCGAAACGCAAAGACUGCACACCGGGUACACGAUAUCAUUGUGCCAGAGAUUUGCAAAACAAGGACUUAUUUAUUGAAACGUGCGCACCUGAAAUAUUUUGUUUGGCAGGAGAAGAACCUCAAAUAUCUUUACAACAGAGUGGCAAAGCCUCUGUGUAUUGCAAACCAUGUUACCGACGAAACAUGUUCAAUGGUCGCCAUAACACAUCAUCGGCGGUUUUUAGUGAAUGUUCUACUAUCAAAACAAACUUCAGGUCGUAACAGUAUAUAUAUUAUUUCCAAAAUAUUUUAGGCACUUCAUGCUUUUUUUUACUCCACAUAAAUCUAAACUCAUAAAC